ensembl:lncRNA
GAGCCAGAGAAGCAGAGACAGGUAAAGACAAUCAGCAGGGGAUGAAGAUGUCAAACACGGCCAAAGAAGAACUGUAAUGACAACCUAGAGGACUUCCUAAGUCUCUCAGGACUCUUCCAGGCAGUUGGAACUUGAGGGAUUUCAACAACUUCUUUGCUGCCUAGACCUUGAGUAAAAUUAAAGGUCAUUCCUGAGCAAGUCUUCAAAAUCUGACCACCCAAGAUAUUAUACCUCUUGGAUUUACUCUUCCAAAUACUAUGGAAACAUAACUGAAACCAUGAGUCGCAGCUUUUUGUUCACUCUGAGAGUUGUGAGUUGCUGCCUCUGGAGAUGAAGUACUGCUGAGAAUUCACAUUGCCUCUUAUUUAAAGGCUACAAGAGGCUUUUCC